GAUUGAUACAGAAAUAAGACGGGCAAGGACGGACGGCGUGUCGGUGGCCGGGCUGCCUGCACAAGGAUGUUUUUUUGUAGGAACAGGGUACAUAGAAAGCAGAUUUCAGAGGCACAGUUGGAAGAACUGGACUUAGCCCACCAUCACUGACUGGUUUCCUGUGUGACCAUAGGUUCAGUUCUGCCCCCUUAGAAAGAAAGAGUCUACAUAUCUGUAUGUCUCUAAGAUAAUCUGAACCCUGACAAAAACACAAACUAAACACCGAAAGCUAAAGGGACCAUUUUGGUUCAGGUUGGAUUUGGAAAGAUGGUAAGUAAAACAAAUUAACUCGUGUAUCAUUAAUCAUUAAUUUUUAUAUCAUUUGGGGAGAUUUCCUCCCAGUGUCUAAGGAGAAACUUCAUAAAUGUUCGUGUGGAUCCUGCCUUUAAUCCCAGCACUUGCGAGACAGAGGCAGGCAGAUCUCAGGUCAGCCUGGCCUACACAGUGAAUUCUAGGCCAGUCAGGGCUAUGUAGACCCUGUCUCAGAAAACGCUGGGUGUGUUUCAGUCAUCUCUUGGGGUAAACACUCACUAACCACGGGCCUCUGUCUCUGUGCCUCCUCUCCAGCCUGCCUUACGUUCAGUAUUUUGGAGGUGUCUCCGCUCUCAGUAAACAACAGUUCCUUACCAUCAAUGGAUUUCCUAAUAAUUACUGGGGCUGGGGAGGAGAAGAUGAUGACAUUUUUAACAGAUUAGUUCAUAAAGGCAUGUCUAUAUCACGCCCAAAUGCUGUGGUAGGCAGGUGUCGCAUGAUCCGGCACUCAAGAGACAAGAAAAAUGAGCCCAACCCU
rnacentral:lncRNA from 1 species